AGAUGUGAGGGUGCUCUGGCUGUGACAUCUGUCACCCCAUUGAUCACCAGGGUUGAUUUGGCUGAUCUGGCUGGCUAAGUGGGUGUCCCCUUCCUCCCUCACUGCUCCAUGCGUGUCCCUCCCAAAACUGUCCUCUCAGUGGAAGAGGACAAUGUCCCAGGAAUUUAUUGAUUUCGUGUCAAAAGCAUUG
rnacentral:snRNA from 1 species